rnacentral:lncRNA from 1 species
UUUUUUACAUAUUAAUCUAAAAUAUAAAAUAUAAUUUUUUUUUAAUAUAUUUUGAAAUAAAAAAACAAUUUUUAAAACGAUAUCAAUUCAACAAUAGCUGCCGACUUUUGACAGUUUCCAUGUAUUUUCAGAGAACUACGUGCAGGGUUAGAUACGAAGAAUUUAACCUCAUCACAACAACAAAUAAAAUAUUUUUUGAAAAAAUAUUAAUAUGUGAGCAUCAUACGUACACACGUGUAUGUGUGUGUGUGAUGAGAAAUUAAGUUAAUCAUUUGAGAUGCGUCGAAGAUUUGAAGACUAGAAGUAAGGAUAGAGGGAAGAGGAAACAAGGAAUAUUCAGUGGAUCAAUGACAUGCUAUGUUAAAAAUAAUUCAGUGUCAGGUUCGAGCUCUGUGAUUGCUCAUAUAAUGGCUACUAGAGGCUUAUAUGAUCGUUAACUUCAGGGCCCGUGGGAUUAGUCGAGGUGCGCGCAAACUGACCCGGACACCCACAUUAAACUAAAAAAAUAAAAUAACAAUUCAGUGUGUUGAAUGUAAACAUGCUUUAAUUUCAACAAACUUUUAAUUUAAUUUCAAUAUAAUUUUUAAUUAAUUUUAAAAUUAAAUAAUAAUUUAAAAACUUGAGAGUUUGAACUAACAUAUAUAAAUCACGAUGAAAUUUCAACCUCUCUAUAACUCCUACAUAAUAUCUUAAAAUCAAUUAUAUUGUAAUUUUGAUAUUUUUAAAUGAUGAAAAAAAAUCACCAACUGAAAAAACGUUAACUAGUCUAUAUUAAAAGUCUAUUGACCCGUGCUCUGUCUUUGUUAGAUUAAUUUUUUUAAAACAUAAAAAAGACUAUUGAGAGCACGAAGAGUUUUUUUUUAUAAUGUUAUGAACUCUGAUCAAAUGGGUCAAUCUUAAAAUCUUUUGUCUCAGUUUUUUAUCUAAUUCAAGUUUCAAAUUAAAUCGUGUGAGAGCUAGUCUGAUUUAAACAAUCAAUUGUAUGGAUCCAAAUGUAACGUGGAUGACUAAUGAAAACAUAACUUAGCUUUUAAAAAGAAUUCAAGAUAAUUUUUUUUAAAAUAUCGAGACAAUAACAGAUUGAAUCAAUCCCGGCCCCCAAAUAACCCGGAUCAUGAACUCUAUUUGAUUUAAUAACUUUUUUUUUAUAAACUCUUUUUAAUUAUAUAAUAAAAAAAGAUUCAUAAUCUUUUUAUUCUUAAUACUUUAAGUAUUUAUAUUUUCAAUUACUUCCCAGAGGCGUCACUUUUAAAUAUUGAUUUAGGUGGUAAACCACUUUAAUUAUUGUAUUUAAUAUUGUAAUCCUCACCCUACCCUUCCUAAAAUAUCAAUUACUUUCUCUGUUUCGUAAAGAGAGUUUUAUUAAACUUCACACAAAUCAUUUCGUUUUGUUUGCCACCUUAGUCUUUCGCAGUCUUUCUUCAAGACACUUCCAAUUUUCGAGAGAGAAAACUCAUAUAUUUUUUUUAUCAUAUGUAUUACAUUACAUUUUAAAAUUACAUGUAGUUGAAAAAAAAUGUGAAUUCAAUUUUAAAAGAAGUAAAAUAAUAAAAUUUGAUACUCUAUUCUUUUUAUUUAUAAAUAAAAACAUAUAUUUUAAGAUAAAAUGAAAAAAGAACUCACUCUAUAAGAUGGGAGAAAUAUAAUGUUUAUUCUAUAGGCUCCACAUGGAAACAAUCGCCAUAAAAUUAUAAUUAUUAUACUCGAUUCGAAAACUAAACUAGAAAAAAGAUACGAGUCAUUGAGUUACUAGACUAACUUGUGGAUCAUCAUAUGAUCAAUUCAGUGGAUCAAUGACAAGCUAUAUUAAAAAUAAUUCAGUGUGUUAGAAUGUAAACAUGCUUUAAUUUCAACAAACUUUUAAUUUAAUUUCAAUAUAUUUUUUAAUUAAUUUUAAAAUUAAAUAAUAAUUUAAAAACUUGAGAGUUUGAACUAACAUAUAUAAAUCACGAUGAAAUUUCAACCUCUCUAUAACUCCUACAUAAUAUCUUAAAAUCAAUUAUAUUGUAAUUUUUACAGUUUUAAUUAUUCUUAAAUGAUGAAAAAAAAAUCAUUGGCUAAAAAAAUACUAACUAGUCUAUGUUACUAGUCUAUUGACCCGCGUUCUGUCUUUGUCAGAUUAGUUUUUUUAAAAUGUAAAAAGAAUGUUGAGAGCACGAGGAUUUUUUUUUUAUAGUGUUAUUAACUCUAAUCAAAUGGGUCAAUUUUAAAACCUUUCGUCUCAGCUCUUUGUCAAACUCAAGUUUUCAAUUAAAUUGCGUGGCAGCUAGUUCGAUUUAAACAGUCGCUUUUAUGGAUCCAAAUGUAACUUGGAUGGCUGAUGAAAACAUGACUUAGCUUUAAAAAAAAAUUCAAGAUAAUUUUUUUAAAAAAAAAUAUCGAGACAAUGACAGAUUAGAUCAAUCAUGGUCCCCCAAUAACCCUGAUCAUGGACUCUAUUGGAUUUAAUAAUUUUUUUUUAUAAACUCUUUUUAAUUAUAUAAUAAAAAUAGAUGCUCGUAAAAUUAAACACCAACCCUAAAAUAUAUAUUUAUUUGAGACUAUGAUAACCCUAUAGAAAACAAACAAAAAUAAACCUUAUAGUCUAUUCCUAACCGAUCAUAUAUUGAAGGACGAAAUAAAAAAAUAAAGGAUAAAAAAUAAAAAAAAGCAUAUCCAGUCUAUUAGUAAACCUGUCAAACCUGUGAAUCGGGUAACUUGAGCUAGCAUGCCAAACCAGUGAACGAGGUUAUGGACUCCACUGAGAUUAUAAUUUGUUUUUUCUUAAAAAAAUAUUUUUUAUUUAACUAUAUGAUAAUAAAAAUAGACGAUCGCAAAAUCAAAUAUUAACUCAAUACCGAGAUAUUUUUCGAGACCGCAAUAACUUUAUAGAAAGCAAAUCGAAACCAAUUAUGAAAUUGAAUUCCCAAUUAACUCAAUAUCUAUAGAUGAAAUCGAAAAAAAGAGUUAAACUUUCCAAACCUGCGAACCAUGUCAACCAACCGAACCUAUGAACAGAUCCAUGGAAUUUAUAAAGUUUAAUAACAUGUUUUUUUUUUCAAAAAUAUUUUUUUAACUAUACGAGAAAAAAAAUAAACGAUAACAAACUCAAGUUCAAAUCGAAAAAAAGAGUUAAACUUUCCAAACCUGCGAACCAUGUCAACCAACCGAACCUAUGAACAGAUCCAUGAACUUUAUAAAGUUUAAUAACAUGUUUUUUUUUCAAAACUAUUUUUUUAAAUAUAAGAGAAAAAAAAUAAACGAUAACAAACUCAAGUUCAAUUAAAAAAAAACACUUUGCCAAACCCAUAAACCAUGAUAACUUGGGUUACCCAAGUAAACCUGCAAACUACUUUAACCAUUUAAAAAGAAAAAAUAAAAAUAAAUAAAUUAUAAGAUUUAAUUCUAAAUUAUCUCAAUAUUACAAAAUAAAAUAGAUAAAAAAAAUUUUGAAAAAAAAAAACCAAUAAGCAAAGCGAGAGCAGAGAGAGCAUAUCAAGAAAUUUUUGCUAUAAAAAAAUAAUAGCAAAGGCUAAAACUGUAUGCUUAAAAAAAAGGAAAAAAGAAAAAGUGGACGACGGACGACGUGGUUUUGUCCCACAGGUUGAAAAAAGGCUUGUGAUGAAAUCGUUUCAGCCUAGCUUAAGUUUAAUUUCCCAUUCAUCUGCUUGUCGUGCAUCUUUUAUUCCCCGAGCUAAACUCAACAGAACACUCAUUACCCAAAAAAAUAAACAUACCCCUCCCCUGUCCCUUUCACUCAAAGGGUUAGUUCGAGUUUCUUCGCAGAUUAUUGAAAAUAUGAAGGAUAAUUGUUUUGUGACGACUAAUUGCGUCAUCAUCAAAAUAGGUAGGAUUAAAUUGUGGUAAUGAUUUUUUUAAAAAUAUUUUUUAUUUGAAAAUAUAUUAAUAUAAUAUUUUUUAAAUUUUAUUUUUAAUAUCAAUAUAUCAAAAUCAUUUAAAAAUAUCAAAAACUUUAAUUUAAAAUAAAAAUUUUAUUUUUUUUAAAAAAGCACGGCAUCACUACAAUAGUUAACACUUACAUAAUCUCGUGGAAGUGUUGAGUGCUUUUUUUUGGGUUAUUAACUUGGUUCAUGAGUUUGAACCGGAUCACCUAAAUUAUUAAAUAGUUAAAUGAGUUUUAUCGGUCAAAAUCUUGGUUAAUUCAACUAGUAACCUGAACCGAUUUUGAAUUUUGAAUUUCCUACAUUAAUCUAUCCGGUUGGCAAAGUUUUAUAACUAUGUAAAAAAAAUUAAAAAAAAAAUGCAGUACGAGCACACCACUCGUAUAUAAAAGACACCGAAGGUUUGAACUUUGAUCACUGAAUUCAGGUGUUGCCAAUUGAACUUCAUUGGUACUUGUAGAAUAUGGCAGAUGAGAAGAAACAAAACCUGGAAAACAAACCUGUGUUGUCUCCACCUCUACCCGAGAGGAAGAAAAACACCUUACCAAACUUCCUUUUAUCUGUUCAGCUCAAAUAUGUGAAACUUGGUUACCACUACUUGGUUUCCAAUGCCAUGUACCUCAUGCUCAUGCCAGCACUUUGCGUGAUUUUUGCUCAUCUUUCAACAUUCACAGUUGAUGAGCUUUGGAAUCAACUCAAAUUCAAUUUUGUGACAGUAGUUCUUUCCUCAACCUCAAUUGUUUUUACUGCUACACUCUACUUCAUGAGCCGUCCAAGAAAAGUUUACUUGGUGGAUUUUCAUGUUACAAGCCCGGACCAGCUCAUAAAGCAUCUAGAGAACUCUUCAUGCAGUUAUCUGCAGCGUCCGAGGUUUUCACAGAGCAAAGCUUAGCUUUUCAAAAGAAAAUCCUAGAGAAAUCAGGCUAUGGUGAAAUGACCUACGCUCCAAAAGGCUUGAUGCGUGUCCCGCCAGACCAGUCCAUGGCUGAAUCCUGGAGGGAAUCAGAGAUGGUGAUGUUCGGAACAAUUGAUGAUCUCUUGGCCAAAACAAGGGUGAAGCCUAGAGACAUAGGAAUACUCGUGGUGAAUAGCAGUUUGUUCAAUCCCACGCCGUCUCUCUCAGCUAGAGUUGUGAAUCACUACAAGCUUAGAGGGAACAUUUUGAGCUAUAAUCUUGGUGGUAUGGGCUGCAGUGCAGGAUUUAUUUCUAUUGAUCUUGCCAAAGACCUUUUGCAGGUAUGCUACUUCAAAUGACAAACUUUUAAGGUUUUUAAGGUGGUGCCCCUUUGGGAUUUAGCAAAUUAAUUUAAAUGAUUUGACGACGGUACGGUUGAUAUAUAGCAUGAUUUGCACAUAUGUAUGAUAUUCUUAAAAUUAAGCAUGAGUUUGUACAUAUUUCAAGUCUACGUGUCAAAAGGUCUCGGGUUUAAAUAUUUCCUUUAUAUAAUAAAAGUAAUAAUAAUUACAAGGAUUGACACUUCAUUGUACCAGGUGCAUCCCAACUCCUAUGCCCUAGUGGUGAGCACCGAGAACAUUACUCGCAACUGGUAUUUUGGCAAUGACCGAUCGAUGCUUGUCACCAACUGCCUCUUCCGUAUGGGAGCAGCCGCAGUCCUCCUAUCCAACCGGACAUUUGAUCGCCGUCGCUCAAAGUAUCAACUUAUCCGUACUGUACGUACACAUAAGGGUGCAGAUGAUAAGUCCUUCAACUGUGUCUUGCAACGAGAGGAUCUUGACACCCAAAGAGUUGGCGUCUCUCUCUCAAAAGACCUAAUGGCUAUAGCUGGAGAAGCCCUUGAAACGAAUAUAACCACUCUGGGCCCAUUAGUUCUUCCAGUCUCCGAACAACUUCUAUUCUUUGUAACCUUAGUUGCCAAAAAAAUCUUCAAGAUGAAGCUAAAACCAUACAUUCCUGAUUUCAAGUUGGCAUUUGAGCACUUCUGCAUCCACGCGGGAGGAAGAGGUGUGUUGGAUGAGCUUGAGAAAAAUCUUGAGCUCACUGAAUGGCAUAUGGAGCCAUCAAGAAUGACUCUUUAUAGGUUUGGAAAUACGUCUAGCAGUUCUUUGUGGUAUGAAUUGGCGUACUCCGAGGCCAAGGGAAGGAUCAAGAAGGGGGACAGAAUUUGGCAAAUAGGUUUUGGUUCAGGAUUUAAGUGCAACAGUGCCGUGUGGCGUGCUAUAAGAGCUAUCGACCCGGCCAAAGAGAAGAAUCCUUGGAUGGAUGAGAUUGAUGACUUUCCAGUUCGUGUGCCUAGAGUGGCACCUCUUGUUUAUUAAAAACGUCAUCUCGGAAAAAAGGUCAUCGUCCAUCGUUAUUAUUAUUUCAAUCGGCAAUAUGUUAUUAUCCGAAUGCAGGAGUAAUUAUUAACAUGAAAUAAAAAUGUUAUUUUCACAUCUCUUUUGGUGUCGAAAUAUAACAUUAUUGAAAUUGGUGUUAUAAUGUAAUGGUUCUAGCUAUCUGUUUUCACGUUUCUUUGUGCAAUCCUGUUGUAGCACUGAUCGGGUCCGAUGUUUAAUGUAAUGGCUAUAUCUCUAAUGUCAGGUUCAAUUGAGGUAUUGGCUUAGAAAAUAAUUUGGAUUAUAUUGAAUCAACUUGUGCAAUAUUAAGUCAAUUCAGACUAAUCAAUUUGGUUAAAAUGAUAAUUUUUAUGAAACUAGUAAAAAUCAAUUUAAAAAAGAAUAAAAAGAACUCCAAGUCAACCUAGUAUAACCUGUCAAACCUUUCACUCAAGUAAUGAAACUGAGAUAACUUUAUAAAAAGUAAAUUAAAAUAAAUUAUGAAAUUUAUUUGGCCCGCAUUUACAGUAGUUUAGAUUUUUUUUUCUCAAUAAAAAAAUUUAUAGAUUUUUUCAACAUGUUUUUUAUUUUAAAAAAAUUCUAAGUGAAAAUCAAAAUAUUUAUACAUAUAUGCAAUCAAAUAAAUUGAGAACUGUGUAUAUUAAUAAGUGAAAAAAAAACAACCAUAAACGAUGACUAAAUAUAAAAACUGGAAAAAUCGAAAGACAUGUAUUGAUCAAAAUAUUUAAUUUUGCAAAAUGUGACAUUUAGGCGGUUGUGUUUGCUAAAUUUAUUAAUUAAAAUAAUUUUUUUAUCCAAUCAAAUGAUAAUACAAAUAAACACACAUAUUAAAUUGAUUGAAUAAAAUAAAAGAAAAAAAAUAAUACGUAAAGUUGUACAUAUUAUAAAUAUUAUUUAAAAAUAAAUUUCUUUUUAUUUUCAGAAAUAAAGUUCAUCUAUACAAAAGAUUAAAAAAAUAUAGAUUAAUCAUAAAAACCUCAUCAAAAAUUAAAUGUUUAAUUAAAAAAUAAUUAUCAUUUCAAAUAGGCUUUCUAAAUAACAUAAAAGAGAGAAGAGAUAUUAAUAAAAAUAAAAAUAAAAAUAAAAAUAAGAUUAAUAUUAAUAUUAAUUUUAAAAAAUAAAAAGAAAAAAAGAAAAAAGUUUUUCUUUAACAAAAAAAAAAGAGUAAAUAGUGUCGUCCACAUUAAAAUUUGUGGGGUGAACCCGAACCAUGAACUCAACCGGUUUUUCCCCCUUAAAUUUAUGGCAAACCUAAAAAAAAUGAACAAUGUUGUCCAUGGUAAAACAUAAGGGGAUGGACAUUGCGGCUGCACAGUAUUUAGCUCACACAUUUUCCCCUUAAAUUUAUAGAAAAACCUUAAAAAGAAAACAAUGACUAGUGUCGUCCACAGUAAAACACGAGGGGGUAAACAGUGUAUCUGUAUAGUGUUCACAACACACGCUUUAGUUUAUUUAAGGUGAACUCGGAUUAUGAACUCAAUCGGGUUUAAUAUUUUUCCCCCUCAAAUUUAUACCAAACCUAAAAAAAGUGAACAAUGUCGUCUAUGGAUGAGGGGGCGAACAAUGCGGCUGUAUAAUGUUCACCCCACAUGCUUUAUAUAUAUAUGAAAAAUGGGAAAAACAUUGUGGACUUGCAUAUUAUUUUUCCCACGCAGUUUAGAUUAUACUAAAUAGAUUGUCUGCGCGUUGCUGCGGGUUACUUUUAGAAACAUGCGCUGCUUGUAAUUAUGAGAAAAUUGAAAAAGAAAAUGUUUUCUAAGCAUGCAAUCAAGAGCUGAUAGCAUUAAAAAGGUAUAUGAUUUGCUUUUAAGCAAUGAAUAAGUAGCAUGCAAAAAACUUGCAUAAACUAUCUCGAAUUUCAUAUAAGAAUCAAAUUGUAAAAUGUAAAGAGAGAUCAAUCUAACAUAGACAUUGUUUGAACAACUCAAAACAAAAGGUGGCAUGAUAUAUAUAUAUAUAUAUAUAUAUAUAUAUAUAUGCACGACUCUAAUUAAACAACCUAAUAAACAUUGUGUAAAUUAAUGACAAAAAAAAUCAUCAACAAUAAAAAAAAGAUGAAUUGAGAAAACCAAGCGAAAAAUAAAGAUCAAGAUAUCUCACAUCAUAACACGGGUAAUUUAUUUGGUCAUGUUUAACAAGUUCCUCUAUCAAAAUAAGUUUGUAAUAGAAAAACAAAUAAAAUUUGUAAUAGAAAACGACACACAUAAAAUUUAUUGAACAAUAUAUAUAAAAAGAAUACUGCAAAGCUGCAUAUAUUAAAAAUCUUAUAAAAAAUCAAUAUUAAAAACAAUCUAUAUAAAAUUAAGAAAAAACCAAAGAUGAAUCAUACUCACCUCUCUAAAAACUAAAUACACCCAAUAUCAUUUAAAAAUAAUCACAAUCUAAUUAAAACAUAAACCAAAAAUUUAUUUAGAAAAGUAUACACAAAUGAUGCAUUAUUUAAAAAAAACAAAAAAAAGUAUAUAUAUAAAAAAGAACUAGGCCAAAAGCUUGUAGGUUUGGUAAGCUAGGCCCGACGCCUGACCUAAUGAACCAACGGCCUGCACUUGGGCCUGCAAUGCCAGGCCUAAGCGCAUGCCCUUUUUUAAAGUUUAAAGGGGUGGACAACGCGUCGUCCGCCCCAAAUAUUUCAAAAAAAAUAAUGCGUCGCUUACUUCAUCCUAGAAUACGGCCACUAUGGUGGCUGGAAAAACAAGGUCCGUCGUUUUUUCACCAAAAAAUCUCAUUUUCAACCCAUUUUUUACCCUAAACACCUAGAAAUAGGGGUGAUUAUUUUCAGUUCGGUUCAAUUUUUAUCAUAAAAAGUAACCAAACCGGUUUUUUUAAAUACCGAAACCGGUUCAAACCAACCGAUUUCAGUUCAGUUCGGUUAUUUUAGAACAAAAACCGGUUCAAACCGACCAGUUUAAGUUUGGUUUGGCUCUGUUUUUUCCAAUUUGGCUUGGUUUUUCGGUUUCAAGCUUAUAAAACCAAACCAAACCAGUUGGUUUUUUAAAAAUUCUAAUUAGUUUUUUUUACGGUUCGUUUUUUUCUAGUUUUCUCAGUUUAAUCGGUUUUUUUAUUUUUUUGCUCAUUCCUACCUAGAAAACACCAUAGAGACCUUGUUAAGCCAAUCUAUUGCAACAAAAAAGCCAAAAAAACCACCGCGAAAUCCACUCAAAACAAAAAUUCUUCCCGAGUUUAGAUUUGUUGUUUUAGGUGUUUUGAAGGUAAAAACAAAUACCUAAACGUAACCCCCUCAUCAUAUGAAACCUUCUGACACAAAAAUCAACCAUUUUAGUGAUCAGAAUCUUCCCCAAUAGCUACUUUCUCUCUCUAGACCAGAAUCCGAGGACUCCCUCUCUCUCCUCUCAACAAAAAAAGACUGAAAAAAGAGGAAAAUGAAGUUAGGUAUCAAAGUGUAUUAUUUUGAAAUAUAAGGUACCAAUCACUUUAUACCAAAAAAAUAUUAGGGAUUAAAAUGAAUCUUUUAAUGAAACUUUCAACCCUCUCCCAAUGCUACCCGAGAUUUUCACUUUAGUCCCUUAACUUUCAAUUCAAUCCUCCUUCCUAUAAAAAUACAAUCGAAGGCUAAUUUAGGCUCCAAAAAUUCAAAUCACGCAAAAUAAAAGUUCAGAGAUUAAAGUGAAAAUUUUCAAAAAUUACAUUGUUCUAAUCCACAACAGGUUAUGAAAUAGUGCACAGUGUUUUAGCUAAUGUAAAAAGCUAAUGCCUUUUAGUUUUGUACUAGUUAGGUGGCCCGCUUUACGUUGCGAGCCAACAUUUUUUUGUCAUAAAAAAUAUAUAAAAAACUAAGACUCAAGAGCCUUGGGUCUAACUGCAGCGUCAGACCCAAGAGAAUUGGAUUUGGAUCUGGCUGCACCGUCAAACCCAAGAGCUUUGGGUGCGGGACUGGCAAGAGCAUUGGAUCUGGCUACAACCCCGGACCCAUGAGUAAUUUUUAUAAUAUUAAUUAUAAUACCAAUAGUAAUAUUUAUAAUACAAAUAAUUAUAUUUUUAAUAUUAAUAAUAAUAUUAAACUUGCUUGGCCCAAGUUCUUAUAGUUUUUAAUCCCUUUAAAUCAAAUUUAUGGUUUUUCUUUAAUAUUAAUAAUAUGUUAUUUCAAAUUUAAUAAUAAUAAUAAUAAUAAUAAUAAUAAUAAUUUUUAAUUUUAUACUUCAAAUCAAAUCUGUGGUUGUUUUUCAAUAUUAAUAAUUUUUUUUUCAAAUUUAUUAGUUAUCAUAUUAAUAACAUUAAUUAUAAUAGAAAUAAUUAUUAUUAUAAUACAAAUAAUAAUAUUAAUAAUAAUAUUAAACUUGUCUAACCCAAGUUUAAGUGGGUCUAAUAAUAAUAUUAGACCCAAGAGCCUUGGAUCCCUCUUAAACGUCUGACCCAAAAGCUUUGGAUCCCUCUUAAACGCCAGACCCAAGAGCCUUGGAUCCGGAUGCUAGACCCAAAAGCUGCAGGCCCGAACACCGGAUCCAAGAGCCCUGGGUCGGUCUGCAAGGCCAAACCCAAGAAUCUUGGGCAGGUUGCAACGCCGAACCCAAGAGCCCGAACAACUUGGGCUUGACGCGCCUUUUCAGCCCCAAGUUAAUUAGGUCUAGAAGGGGAUGUCAAACCCAAGUUAAUAAUGACAAUAAUAAUAAUAAUAAUAAUAAUUGAUUUUACCCUUCAAAUCAAAUUUAUGUUUUUUUAUAAUAAUAAUAUAUUUUUUAAAAUUUAAUAAUAUUAAUGAUAAUAAUAGUUAUAUUAAACUCGUCUGACCCAAGUUCUUAUAGUUUUUAAUCCCUUCAAAUCCAAUUUAUGUUUUUCCAUUAAUAGUAUUAAGAUUUUUUUUCAAAUUUAUUAAUGAUAAUAAUAGUUAUAUUAAACUCGUCUGACCCAAGUUCUUAUAGUUUUUAAUCCCUUCAAAUCCAAUUUAUGUUUUUCCAUUAAUAGUAUUAAGAUUUUUUUUCAAAUUUAUUAAUGAUAAUAAUAAUAAUUUUUAAUUUUACCCAUCAAAUGAAAUCUACGGUUGUUUUUCAAUAUUAAAAAUAUUUUUUUCAAAUUUAUUAAUUAUUAUAUUAAUAAUAUUUAUAAUAAUAAUAAUAAUAAUAAUAAUAAUAAUAAUAUUUUUAAUAAUAAUAAUAUUAAUAUUAAAUUUAUUUAAGCCAAGUUUAAGUGGGUUCAGCUGCAAUGUCAGGCCCAAUAAUAUGACAGUCAUGUCUAAUCCCAGCGCCAGGUGUCUGAUAGCCAUACCAUACCUCAACGCCUAGGGCUUGAUAACUUUACCAUGCCCUAGUAAAAUCCAAACUUAUCAUUUUAUUCCUAAUUAUUCUUUUAAUGUCAAUUAAAUACAUCUAAUGAAAAAAACAAUUCUACCCUCCAUUACACAUUACAUGCUUAACAAGGUGUUUUUUUUUUAAAGUAAUAACAACUCCAUCAUUAUAUUAUUACAGUCCAAGUAAUCUGUAUCUAGAUAACUAGUAAGAGGGUCCAAAGUGAUUUUAAUAUAUUGAAUAAUAUAAUAUAAUUUUAGGUAAUAUUUGCACAAAACAGCUGAAAUAGUCCCCCCUUACUGGUACCAGGACCGAGCCACAGCAGGACUGGGCCAUGUCUUCGGCAAGCCUGUUGUCGGCAGUGAAGAACUACCAAAGUUUUUGAAUGAAUUGACAGUCCUAGGCAUGUUGAAGAAACAAGCUUAACCAGGACGUAUUUAUUGAAAGAAAAGAAAACGUGGACGAUGGACGACGUGGUUUUGUCCCACAGGUUAAAAAAAGGCUUGUGAUGAAAUCGUUUCAGCCUAGCUUAAGUUUAAUUUCCCAUUCUUCUGCUUGCCGUGCAUCUUUUAUUCCCCGAGCUAAACUCAACAGAACACUCAUUACCCAAAAAAAAUAAACAUACCCUUCCCCUGUCCCUUUCACUUGAAGGGUUAGUUGGAGUUUCUUCACAGAUUAUUGAAAAUAUGAAGGAUAAUUGUUUUGUGACGAUUGAUUGCGUCAUCAUUAAAAUAGAUAGUUUUAAAUUGUGUUUAUAGUUUUUUUAAAGUAUUUUUUAUUUAAAAAUAUAUUAAAAUUAUUUAUUUUUUUAAAUUUAUUUUUAAUAUUAACAUAUUAAAACCCUUUAAAAAUAUAAAAUUAAUUUAAUUUAAAAUAAAAAAUUAAUUUUUUAAAAAAGCACAGCUACCUGCAAUAGUUAACACUCCUAUAAUCUCGUGGACAUGUUGAGUGUUUUUUUUGGACUAUUAACCCGGUCAAGUUUGAACCGGAUAACCUGAAUUAUUAAAAACCUAUCAUAGCUAAAUGAGUUUUGGGCUAUUAAUCGUUUCCUUCUUUUAGAUUUGACCAUCCUGUCUUCUUUCUUCCUCCCGGUUCGUUUCCCUCUGUUGGUGGCAGAUCCGGCCGUUGGUUCACGGUCCAGAUGUGCUACGUGGGGUUGAACCGAUGAAGAAGAGUCGGGGAUUUCUGGGUCUUCACGAGCUGGCGGCUGGUUCAGGAGAAUGGGCUGUUGAGGCCGAGUGAGGAGAUAUCUGGGUCUCCUGGCCUGUGGGUUGCUGGCGGUGUUGAGGCGGAGACACCGCUGCUGGGAGUUUCGGGGAGUCCAGUCUGUCAGUGUUGCUUCCCUAUUACUGUCGGUGGAAGGGCUGAAAGGAGAAGGGAAGGUCAGGCGGUGGUUCAAGAGCAAACGGGGCUCUCUCUGUGUUUCGGCCAGAGCUCAGAAGAGAAAAUGAGCGGCCUUUUUGUUGGCUGGGAGUGUGGCCGGCUAAAGAGGGAAGAAGAAGAUCAAAGGGGAGGGGGGCCGGUUUGUUUUUUGGAGGAGAAGGGCCUGUUUUUUUGUGGGGUUCUCUCCUUUUGCAAGGAAGAUGGAGGGCAAGCUUUUCUGGUUCUGGGACCAAACAAAACUCCAAGCCGAAAGGGAGUGGGGUGGCGGCUUGUCUGUAGAUAAAUUUAGGUUAGGGUUUUUACCUUUUCCCCCCCAAAAUUUUCUCCGCCUCCAUGCCUCUCAAUUUUUUCUCUAUCCUUUUUUUGCACUGUAGCUUGGUAUUUAUAGGCGAAGUGUUGUUUCCAAAUUGGUCCCUCAAUUUUUUCUUUUCUUUUUUUUUGGUAAAUUUUGAUUUUUCAUAUUUUUUUUGUAUUUUUAAAAGCGACCAAUAUCAACGUCGACUCAACAAGAAAAAUCGGUGAUUGUAAAAUUAACGCGUUAAAAGUUGAACGCGUUCAAAAUACCUUCAAAAAUUUAAAUUUUUUUGAGAUGGCGUUGAAAAUGCUAAAAAUGAUAUAAAUAUAUCAAAAAUAUAUUUUUUGGGUGUUUUUUUUUGUUUUUACUAUUUUUUGUUUUUUUUGAAAAUUUAUCAAAAACAUGGGUAAAAAAUUAGGUAGCAACAAGCUGAAUAUGAAGGGCUUUCGAAGAAAAAAUUAUUGUUUCAAUUAUGAGAAAAAUUUAGAGGGGGAAAAAAUUAAUUACCUGAUUGAAUGUAAUAACACUAACGCAGUUAGUAGCAAGAAAAGAGGAAGAGUAUUAAAAAUACGAUAUAUUAAAGAUUACUCAAGUGUGUGUAUACAUGCACAUGUGCAACCUGGAGAGUGAAUUCAAAUUUGAAAGUAUUUAGCAUAUCAUUUAUAAGCCUAUAUUUAACAAGCUCAGAACCAUCAACAUAUCAAAAAAAAAAAAAGAUUCAAGUACUAUCUAAACCCCUUUCUCUCUCUAGACCGGAGUCCAACAACUACCUCUCUCUCCUCCUAACAAAAAAAGAACUGAAAAAAAAAUGAAGUUAUGUACCAAAAUGUAUUGUCUUGAAAUUCAAGUAACCAACCACUUUAUACCAAAAAAAUAUUGGGGAUUAAAAUAAAUAUUUCAAUGAAACUUUUAACCCGCCCACAAUGCUACCCGAGAUUUUCACUCCAGUCCCUUAGCUUUCAAUUCAAUCCUCCUUCCUAAAAAAUUGCAAUUGAGGGCUAAUUUAGGCUUCAAAUAGCCAAAUCACACAAAAUAAAAGUUCAAAGAUCAAAGUGAAAAUUUCCAAAAACUACCGUGUUCUAAUCCACAGUUAAUUAUGAAAGAGUGCAUAGUGUUUUAACUAAUGUAAAAAGUUGAUGCCUUUUAGCUUUGUACUAGUUAGGUGGCUCAUGCUACGCCGUGAGCCAACUUUUUUUUAGCAUAAAAAAUAUCAAAAAAAAGUUAAGACCUAAGAGAAUUGGCAUUUGGGCCGACUGCACCACGAGACCCAAAAGUCUUGGGUGUGGUUCUGUCUGCAACUUCAGGCCCAAGACUGUUGGGUCUGGCUGCAACAUCGGACACAUGAGUAAUAUUUAUAAUAUUAAUUAUAAUAUCAAUAGUAAUAUUUAUAAUACAACUAAUAAUAUUUCUAAUAUUAAUAAUAAUAUUAAACUUGUUUGACCCAAGUUCUUGUAGUUUUUAAUCCCUUUAAAUCAAAUUUAUGGUUUUUCUUCAAUAUUAAUAAUAUUUUAUUUCAAAUUUAUUAAUGACAAUGAUGAUAAUAACAAUGAUAAUAAUAAUAAUAAUAAUAAUAAGAAUAAUAAUAUUUAAUUUUACGCUUCAAACAAAAUCUUUGGUUGUUUUUCAAUAUUAAUAAUAUUUUUUCUCAGAUUUAUUAAUUAUCAUAUUUAUAACAUUAAUUAUAAUAAAAAUAAUAAAAUUUAUAAUACGAAUAAUAAUAUUAAACUUGUCUGACCCAAGUUUUAGUGGUUCUGACUACAACGCAAAGCCCAAGAGCUUUAGGCCCCUUUUAAACGCCAGGCUCAAGAGCCUUAGAUCUGAACGCCAGACAUAAGAGCUGCAAGCUAGGACACCGAACCCAAGAGCCUUGGGUCGGUCUGCAAGGCCAGAUCCAAGAGCUUCAGGUUGGCUGUAACGCCUGACCCAACGCCGAACCCAAGAGGUGUGAACUCGAGGGGGCUGCCGGAUCCAAGUAACUUGGGUGUGGCGCCCUUUUCUAGCCCCAAGUUACUUGGGUCUCGAAGGGGAUGUCUAACCCAAGUUAAUAAUAAUAAUAAUUAUUAUUAUUAUAUGUUUUUUUCUAUAAUAAUAAUUUUUUUUUCAAAUCUAAUAAUAUUAAUGAAUAUAAUAAUAUUUAUAAUAUUAAUAAUAAUGUUAAACUUCUUUGACCCAAGUUUUUAUAAUUUUUAAUCUCUUCAAAUAAAAUUUAUGAUUUCUCUUUGAUAGUAAUAAUAUUUUUUAAGAAUUUAUCAAUGAUGACAAUAAUAAUAAUAAUAAUAACAACAACAACAAACUCGUCUAACCUAAGUUCUUAUAGUGUUUAGUCCCUUCAAAUCCAAUUUAUGUUUUUUCUUCAAUAGUAAUAAGAUUUGUUUUCCAAAUUUAUUAAUGAUAAUAAUAAUAACAAUAAUUUUUAAUUUACCCAUCAAAUCAAAUCUAUGGUUUUUUUCAAUAUUAAUAAUAUACAAAUUUAUUAAUUAUUAUAUUAAUAAUAUUAAUUAUAAUAAAAAUAAUAAUAUUUUUAUUAUAAUUAAUAAGAGCCUUGGGUCCUGACGUCGGACCCAAGAGCCAUGGGGUCUAGUUGCUCUACCUAACCCGGGUGCCUAGGGUGUGACAGUCAUGCCUAAUCCUAGUGCCAGGUGUCUAGCAGCCAUGCCAUGUCUCGACGCACGAGGCUGAUAGUUUUGCCACGCCUUAAUACCUUGGGCCUGACAGCCAUACCAUGCUCCAAUAAAAUCUGAACUGACCAUUUUGUUCUCAAUCAUUCUUUUAAUGCCAAAUGCAUCUUAUGGAAAAAAACAAUUCCAUCCUCACUGCAUGCUUAGCAAGUUUCUUUGGCAAGGACAUCUCCAUCAUUACACUGCUUCAAUCCAUAGAAAUUUAUAUCUAGAUAAACAAUGAGAGGGGCACUGAGCCCUUUUAAUAUAUUGAAUAAUAUAAUAUAAUUAUAGGCAAUAUUUGCACGAAACAACUGAAAUGGUCCCCUUACAGGUACAAGGAGCAAGCCACAAAAGGACUAGGCCAUGCAGGUAGAAUAAUUAAUGAUAGAUGGCUUCAUCCAAAAAUCCUAUUUCAACCUAUUUUUGACCCAAAAUGCUUAGAAAACACCCUUGAGAUCUUGUUAAACCGAUCCAUUAUCACAAAAAAGCCAAAAAAAACCUCCAUAAAACCCGAAAUCCACCUAGAACAAAAAAUCUUCCCGAGCUAAGAUCUGUUGUUUUAGGUGUUUUGAAGGUAAAAAAAUUCAAUUUAUGUUUUUUCUUCAAUAGUAAUAAGUUUUUUUUUUCAAAUUUAUUAAUGAUAAUAAUAAUAAUAAUAAUAAUAAUAAUAAUAAUUUAUUUACCCAUCAAAUCAAAUCUAUGGUGUUUUUCAAUAUUAAUAAUAUACAAAUUUAUUAAUUAUUAUAUUAAUAAAAAUAAUAAUAUUUUCAUUAUAAUUAAUAAGAGCCUUAAGUCCUGAUGUCGGACCCAAAAGCCAUGAAGUCUAGUUGCUCUACCUAACUCGGGUGCCUAGGGUGUGACAGUCAUGCUUAACUCUAGUGCCAGGUGUCUGGCAGCCAUGCCAUGUCCCAACACCCGGGGCUGAUAAUUUUACCACGCCCUAAUGUUCUGACAGCUUUACCAUGCCCCAAUAAAAUCUGAACUGGCCAUUUUGUCCCCAAUCAUUCUUUCAAUGCCAAAUGCAUCCUAAGGAAAAAAACAAUUCCAUCCUCACUGCAUGCUUAGCAAGUUUCUUUAGCAAGGGCAUUUCCAUCAUUACACUGCUUCAAUCCAUAGUAAUUUAUAUCUAGAUAAACAGUGAGAGGGGCACUGAGCCCUUUUAAUAUGUUGAAUAAUAUAAUAUAAUUAUAGGCAAUAUUUGCACGAAACAACUGAAAUAGUCCCAUUACAGGUACUAGGAGCAAGCCACAAAAGGACUGGGCCAUGCAGGUAGAAUAAUUAAUGACAGAUGGCUUCACCAAAAAAAUCCUAAUUCAACCUAUUUUUGACCUAAAAUAUCUAGAAAACACUCUAGAGAUCUUGUUAAACCAAUCAAUUAUCACAAAAAAACCAAAAAACCAGCCAAAACCCGAAAUCCACCUGUAACAAAAAUUCUUCCUAAGCUAAGAAUUGUUGUUUUAGGUGUUUUGAAGGUAAACAAAUUCAAUUUAUGUUUUUUCUUCAAUAGUAAUAAGUUUUUUUUUCAAAUUUAUUAAUGAUAAUAAUAAUAAUAAUAAUAAUAAUAAUUUUUAAUUUACCCAUCAAAUCAAAACUAUGGUGUUUUUCAAUAUUAAUAACAUACAAAUUUAUUAAUUAUUAUAUUAAUAAUAUGAAUUAUAAUAAAAAUAAUAAUAUUUUUAUUAUAAUUAAUAAGAGCCUUGGGUCCUGAUGUCGGACCCAAGAGCCAUGGGGUCUAGCUGCUCUACCUAACCCGGGUGCCUAGGGUGUGACAGUCAUGCCUAACCAUAGUGCCAGGUGUCUGACAGCCAUGCCAUGUCCCGACACCCAGGGCUGAUUGUAACAUCCCACAUCGAAAAAAGAGUGUCCAGAGCCCGGGGCUGAUUGUAACAUCCCACAUCGAAAGAAGUAGGGUUGGGCUGAUUGUCCAGAGCCUAGGGCAUAUUAAGACAGUAAGUACCUAACCUUGUAGGACGUGUUUUGGGGUUUGUGGGCUGCCAGGAACAAAACCGUGAGGCGUGGAAGUAGGGUUGGGCUGAUCCAUAACGGAUAAUAUUCUGCAAGGGGGAGUGGGUCGGGCCUUACAUAUGGUAUAAGAGCCGAGGAAGACUCGUUCUUAAGGUGGGGGGGAUUGUAACAUCCCACAUCGAAAGAAGAGUGUACAGAGCCAGGACAUAUUAAGGCAGUAGGUAUCUAACCUUGUAGGAAUCGUUUUGGGGCCUGUGGGCUGCAAGGAAAAAAACCGUGAGGUGUGGAAGUCGGGUUGGUCUGAGCCAUAGCGGAUAAUAUUUUGCAAGGAGGAGUGGGCCGGGCCUUACACUGAUAGUUUUGCCACGCCCUAAUACCUGGGGCCUGACAGCCUUACCAUGCCCCAAUAAAAUCUGAACUUACCAUUUUGUCUCUAAUCAUUCUUUCAAUGUCAAAUGCAUCCUAUGGAAAAAAAAAACAAUUAUAUCAUCACUGCAUGUUUAGCAAGUUUCUUUGGCAAGGACAUCUCCAUAAUUACACUGCUUCAAUCCAUAGUAAUUUAUAUCUAAAUAAACAGUGAGAGGGGCACUGAGCUCUUUUAAUAUAUUGAAUAAUAUAAUAUAAUUAUAGGCAAUAUUUGCACGAAACAGCUGAAAUGGUCCCCUUACGGGUACAAGGAGCAAGCCACAAAAGGACUGGGCCAUGCAGGUAGAAUAAUUAAUGAUAGAUGCCUUCACCAAAAAAUCCUAUUUCAAUAUAUUUUGACCCAAAAUAUCUAGAAAACACCCUAGAGAUCUCGUUAAACCAAUCCAUUAUCACAAAAGGCCAAAAAACUGCCCCAAAACCCGAAAUCCAUCCGGAACAAAAAUUCUUCCCGAGCUAAGAUAUGUUGUUUUAGAUGUUUUGAAGGUAAAAAAAAUUCAAUUUAUGUUUUUUCUUCAAUAGUAAUAAGUUUUUUUUCAAAUUUAUUAAUGAUGAUGAUGAUAAUAAUAAUAAUAAUAAUAAUAAUAAUAAUAAUUUUUUAUUUACCCAUCAAAUCAAAUCAAUGGUGUUUUUCAAUAUUAAUAAUAUACAAAUUUAUUAAUUAUUAUAUUAAUAAAAAUAAUAAUAUUUUCAUUAUAAUUAAUAAGAGCCUUAGGUCCUGACGUUGGACCCAAAAGCCAUGAAGUCUAGUUGCUCUACCUAACUCGGGUGCCUAGGGUGUGACAGUCAUGCCUAACUCUAGUGCCAGGUGUCUGGCAGCCAUGCCAUGUCCCGACACCCGGGGCUGAUAAUUUUGCCACGCCCUAAUACCUGGGUUCUGACAGCCUUACCAUGCCCCAAUAAAAUCUGAACUGGCCAUUUUGUCCCCAAUCAUUCUUUCAAUGCCAAAUGCAUCCUAAGGAAAAAAAAAACAAUUCAAUCCUCACUGCAUGCUUAGCAAGUUUCUUUGGCAAGGACAUUUCCAUCAUUACACUGCUUCAAUCCACAGUAAUUUAUAUCUAGAUAAACAGUGAGAGGGGCACUGAGCCCUUUUAAUAUGUUGAAUAAUAUAAUAUAAUUAUAGGCAAUAUUUGCACGAAACAGCUGAAAUGGUCCCCUUACUGCUACCAGGAGCAAGCCACAAAAGGACUGGGCCAUGCAGGUAGAAUAAUUAAUGAUAGAUGGCUUCAUCAAAAAAAUCAUAUUUCAACAUAUUUUUAACCUAAAAUACCUAGAAAACACCCUAUAGAUCUUGUUAAACAAAUCCAUUAUCACAAAAAAGCCAAAAAACCGCCCCAAAACCCGAAAUCCACCCGGAACAAAAAUUCUUCCCGAGCUAAGAUAUGUUGUUUUAGGUGUUUUGAAGGAAAAAAAAUUCAAUUUAUGUUUUUUCUUCAAUAGUAAUAAGUUUUUUUUUCAAAUUUAAUAAUAAUAAUAAUAAUUUUUAAUUUUACCCAUCAAAUCAAAUCUAUGGUUGUUUUUCAAUAUUAAUAAUAUUUUUUAAAUUUAUUAAUUAUUUAUAAUAAUAAUAAUAAUAUUUUUUAUAAUAAUAAUAAUAUUAAACUUGCAUGUCCCAAGUUUAAAUGCAUCUGGUUGCAACGCCAGAUCCAAGUAUUCCGAUUUUAUCCUUAGUUGUUUUUUUAAUAUCAAAUGUAUAUAAUAACAAAAGACAAUUUCACCUUUAUUGCAUGUUUAGCAAGUUUCAUCGUCACAUUGUCCAAUCAAAAAUAAUUUAUUUACAGAUAAACAACAACAUGACACUGAACUAAUAUAAUUAUAGGCAAUAUUUACAGGAAACAGCUGAAAUAAUCUCCUUACGGGUACAAGGAGCAAGCCACAAAAGGACUGGGCCAUGCAAGUAGAAUAAUUAAUGAUAGAUGCUUUCACUAAAAAAUCCUAUUUCAAUCUAUUUUUGAUCUAAAAUAUCUAAAAAACACCCUAAAGAUCUUGUCAAACCAAUUCAUUAUCACAAAAAAUCACCCCAAAACCCGAAAUCCACCCGGAACAAAAAUUCUUCCCGAGCUAAGAUCUAAAAGCCAUGAAGUCUAGUUGCUCUACCUAACUCGGGUGCCUAGGGUGUGACAGUCAUGCCUAACUCUAGUGCCAGGUGUCUGGCAGCCAUGCCAUGUCCCGACACCCGGGGCUGAUAAUUUUGCCACGCCCUAAUACCUGGGUUCUGACAGCCUUACCAUGCCCCAAUAAAAUCUGAACUGGCCAUUUUGUCCCCAAUCAUUCUUUCAAUGCCAAAUGCAUCCUAAGGAAAAAAAAAACAAUUCAAUCCUCACUGCAUGCUUAGCAAGUUUCUUUGGCAAGGACAUUUCCAUCAUUACACUGCUUCAAUCCACAGUAAUUUAUAUCUAGAUAAACAGUGAGAGGGGCACUGAGCCCUUUUAAUAUGUUGAAUAAUAUAAUAUAAUUAUAGGCAAUAUUUGCACGAAACAGCUGAAAUGGUCCCCUUACUGCUACCAGGAGCAAGCCACAAAAGGACUGGGCCAUGCAGGUAGAAUAAUUAAUGAUAGAUGGCUUCAUCAAAAAAAUCAUAUUUCAACAUAUUUUUAACCUAAAAUACCUAGAAAACACCCUAUAGAUCUUGUUAAACAAAUCCAUUAUCACAAAAAAGCCAAAAAACCGCCCCAAAACCCGAAAUCCACCCGGAACAAAAAUUCUUCCCGAGCUAAGAUAUGUUGUUUUAGGUGUUUUGAAGGAAAAAAAAUUCAAUUUAUGUUUUUUCUUCAAUAGUAAUAAGUUUUUUUUUCAAAUUUAAUAAUAAUAAUAAUAAUUUUUAAUUUUACCCAUCAAAUCAAAUCUAUGGUUGUUUUUCAAUAUUAAUAAUAUUUUUUAAAUUUAUUAAUUAUUUAUAAUAAUAAUAAUAAUAUUUUUUAUAAUAAUAAUAAUAAUAAACUUGCAUGUCCCAAGUUUAAAUGCAUCUGGUUGCAACGCCAGAUCCAAGUAUUCCGAUUUUAUCCUUAGUUGUUUUUUUAAUAUCAAAUGUAUAUAAUAACAAAAGACAAUUUCACCUUUAUUGCAUGUUUAGCAAGUUUCAUCGUCACAUUGUCCAAUCAAAAAUAAUUUAUUUACAGAUAAACAACAACAUGACACUGAACUAAUAUAAUUAUAGGCAAUAUUUACAGGAAACAGCUGAAAUAAUCUCCUUACGGGUACAAGGAGCAAGCCACAAAAGGACUGGGCCAUGCAAGUAGAAUAAUUAAUGAUAGAUGCUUUCACUAAAAAAUCCUAUUUCAAUCUAUUUUUGAUCUAAAAUAUCUAAAAAACACCCUAAAGAUCUUGUCAAACCAAUUCAUUAUCACAAAAAAUCACCCCAAAACCCGAAAUCCACCCGGAACAAAAAUUCUUCCCGAGCUAAGAUCUAAAAGCCAUGAAGUCUAGUUGCUCUACCUAACUCGGGUGCCUAGGGUGUGACAGUCAUGUAAUAUGUUUUUUUUUUCAAAUUUAUUAAUGAUAAUAAUAAUAAUGAUAAUAAUAAUAAUAAUUUUUAAUUUGACCAAGCGACCCUCGGCUUGGCCCGCUAUACCAUUAAUAAUAUUUUUCAAAUUUAUUAAUUAUUUAUAAUAAUAAUAAUAAUAAUAUUAAACUUGUAUGUCCCAAGUUUAAAUGGAUCUGGUUGCAACGCCAGAUCCAAGUAUUUCGAUUUUAUCCUUAGUUAUUUUUUUAAUAUCAAAUGUAUAUAAUAACGAAAGACAAUUUCACCUUUAUUGCAUGUUUAGCAAGUUUCAUCGUUACAUUGUCCAAUCAAAAAUAAUUUAUAUACAGAUAAACAACAACAUGACACUGAACUAAUAUAAUUACAGGCAAUAUUUGCAGGAAACAGCUGAAAUAGUCCCCUUACGGAUACAAGGAGCAAGCCACAAAAGGACUGGGCCAUGCAGGUAGAAUAAUUAAUGAUCGAUGCCUUCACCAAAAAAUCCUAUUUCAACAUAUUUUGACCCAAAAUACCUAGAAAACACCCUAGAGAUCUUGUUAAACCAAUCCAUUAUCACAAAAAAGCCAAAAAACAACCCCAAAACCCGAAAUCCACCCGGAACAAAAAUUCUUCCCGGGCUAAGAUAUGUUGUUUUAGGUGUUUUGAAGGUAAAAAAAAUUCAAUUUAUGUUUUGUCUUCAAUAGUAAUAUGUUUUUUUUUUCAAAUUUAUUAAUGAUAAUAAUAAUAAUAAUUUUUAAUUUUACCCAUCAAAUCAAAUCUACGGUUGUUUUUCAAUAUUAAUAAUAUUUUUCAAAUUUAUUAAUUAUUUAUAAUAAUAAUAAUAAUAAUAUUAAACUUGUAUGUCCCAAGUUUAAAUGGAUCUGGUUGCAACGCCAGAUCCAAGUAUUUCGAUUUUAUCUUUAGUUAUUUUUUUAAUAUCAAAUGUAUAUAAUAACGACAGACAAUUUCAACUUUAUUGCAUGUUUAGCAAGUUGCAUCGUUACAUUGUCCAAUCAAAAAUAAUUUAUAUACAGAUAAACAACAACAUGACACUGAACUAAUAUAAUUACAGGCAAUAUUUGCAGGAAACAGCUGAAAUAGUCCCCUUACGGAUACAAGGAGCAAGCCACAAAAGGACUGGGCCAUGCAGGUAGAAUAAUUAAUGAUCAAUGCCUUCACCAAAAAAUCCUAUUUCAACAUAUUUUGACCCAAAAUACAUAGAAAACACCCUAGAGAUCUUGUUAAACCAAUCCAUUAUCACAAAAAAGCCAAAAAACAACCACAAAACCCGAAAUCCACCCGGAACAAAAAUUCUUCCCGGGCUAAGAUAUGUUGUUUUAGGUGUUUUGAAGGUAAAAAAAAUUCAAUUUAUGUUUUGUCUUCAAUAGUAAUAUGUUUUUUUUUUCAAAUUUAUUAAUGAUAAUAAUAAUAAUAAUAAUAAUAAUUUUUAAUUUUACCCAUCAAAUCAAAUCUAUGGUUGUUUUUCAAUAUUAAUAAAAUUUUUCAAAUUUAUUAAUUAUUUGUAAUAAUAAUAAUAAUAAUAUUAAACUUGUAUGUCCCAAGUUUAAAUGGAUCUGGUUGCAAUGCCAGAUCCAAGUAUUUCGAUUUUAUCCUUAGUUAUUUUUUUAAUAUCAAAUGUAUAUAAUAACAAAAGACAAUUUCACCUUUAUUGCAUGUUUAGCAAGUUUCAUCGUUAUAUUGUCCAAUCAAAAAUAAUUUAUAUACAGAUAAACAACAACAUGACACUGAACUAAUAUAAUUAAAGGCAAUAUUUGCAGGAAACAGCUGAAAUAGUCCCCUUACGGAUACAAGGAGCAAGCAACAAAAGGACUGGGCCAUGCAGGUAGAAAAAUUAAUGAUAGAUGCCUUCACCAAAAAAUCAUAUUUCAACCUAUUUUUGACUUAAAAUACCUAGAAAUCACUCUAGAGAUCUUGUUAAACCAAUCCAUUAUCACAAAAAAUUAAUAAUAUUUUUCAAAUUUAUUAAUUAUUUAUAAUAAUAAUAAUAAUAAUAUUAAACUUGUAUGUCCCAAGUUUAAAUGGAUCUGGUUGCAACGCCAAAUCUAAAUAUUCCGAUUUUAUCCUUAUUUAUUUUUUUAAUAUCAAAUGUAUAUAAUAACAAAAGACAAUUUUAAAUAAUGUAUAUAGUUACAUUAUUUUAUGGUUACAUUGUUCGAUGAACAAUAAUUUAUAUACAGAUAAACAGUAACAUGACACUGAACUAAUAUAAUUAUAUUUAAUAUUUACAGGAAAUAGCUGAAAUAAUCCCCUUCCGGGUACCAGAACCAGCCACAGCCGGACUAGGCCAUGCGGGCAGAAUAAUUAAUGAUCGAUGGCAAAACUGUGGUCGACCGUGGUGUUGGAAUGAAUUGACAGUCCUCCUCAUAGGCAUGUCCAAGAAAGUAGAAAUAAACAUAUCACACUAUUUGACCACAGUUUUAACCAAACAUCUAUUUUUUCAAACCACAACCACAACAGCUACUACAAUACAAAUCACACUAUUUGAAUGAAUCGACAGUCCUAGGCAUGUCCAAGAAACAAACUUACCAGGACGUAUUUAUUGGUCUGCAUUCUAUCAUCGCGCCCCAUUUAAUAGCCUCAACUAUAAAUCAUAACCAUUAACCCCUUGUACCGUCAUCAUCUUUUAACCACUUCCCUUUCAUCUCCUCUGUUUUUGGGCUCCAUUUCAGCAUAUUUUGUUUUUUUUUUUUAAUGUUUUUUAUAUUAAAUUAAAUUUUUUAAUUUUUAAUUUUUAAUUUUUUUUACAUAUUAAUAUAAAAAAUAAAAUAUAAUUUUUUUUAAUAUAUUUUGAAAUAAAAAAAACAAUUUUUCAAACGAUAUCAAUUCAACAAUAGCUGCCGACUUUUGACAGUUUCCAUGUAUUUUCAGAGAACUACGUGCAGGGUUAGAUACGAAGAAUUUAACCUCAUCACAACAACAAAUAAAAUAUUUUUUGAAAAAAUAUUAAUAUGUGAGCAUCAUACGUACACACGUGUAUGUGUGUGUGAUGAGAAAUUAAGUUAAUCAUUUGAGAUGCGUCGAAGAUUUGAAGACUAGAAGUAAGGAUAGAGGGAAGAGGAAACAAGGAAUAUUCAGUGGAUCAAUGACAUGCUAUGUUAAAAAUAAUUCAGUUUCAGGUUCGAGCUCUGUGGUUGCUCAUAUAAUGGCUAUUAGAGGCUUAUAUGAUCGUUAACUUCAGGGCCCGUAGGAUUAGUCGAGGUGCGCGCAAACUGGCCCGGACACCCACAUUAAACUAAAAAAAAUAAUAACAAUUCAGUGUGUUGAAUGUAAACAUGCUUUAAUUUCAACAAACUUUUAAUUUAAUUUCAAUAUAAUUUUUAAUUAAUUUUAAAAUUAAAUAAUAAUUUAAAAACUUGAGAGUUUGAACUAACAUAUAUAAAUCACGGUAAAAUUUCAACCUCUCUAUAACUCCUACAUAAUAUCUUAAAAUCAAUUAUAUUGUAAUUUUGAUAUUUUUAAAUGAUGAAAAAAAAUCACCAACUGAAAAAACGUUAACUAGUCUAUAUUAAAAGUCUAUUGACCCGUGCUCUGUCUUUGUUAGAUUAAUUUUUUUAAAACAUAAAAAAGACUAUUGAGAGCACGAAGAGUUUUUUUUUAUAAUGUUAUGAACUCUGAUCAAAUGGGUCAAUCUUAAAAUCUUUUGUCUCAGUUUUUUAUCUAAUUCAAGUUUCAAAUUAAAUCGUGUGAGAGGUAGUCUGAUUUAAACAAUCAAUUUUAUGGAUCCAAAUGUAACGUGGAUGACUAAUGAAAACAUAACUUAGCUUUUAAAAAGAAUUCAAGAUAAAUUUUUUUUAAAUAUUGAGACAAUGACAGAUUGAAUCAAUCCCGAUCCCCCAAUAACCCGGAUCAUGAACUCUAUUUGAUUUAAUAACCUUUUUUUUUAUAAACUUUUUUUAAUUAUAUAAUAAAAAUAGAUACUCAUAAAAUUAAACACCAACCAUAAAAUAUAUAUUUAUUUGAGACUAUGAUAAACCUAUAGAAAAUAAACAAAAAUAAACCUUAUAGUCUAUUUCCUAACCAAUCCAAUAUUGAAGGACAAAAUAAAAAAAAACAUCCAGUCUGUUAGUAAACCUGUCAAACCUGUGAAUCAGGUAACUGGAGCUAGCAUGUCAAACCAGUGAACGGGGUUAUGGACUUCACUGAGAUUAUAAUUUUUUUUUUAAAAAAAAUUAUUUUUUAUUUAACUUACAAUAAUAAAAAUAGACGAUCGCAAAAUCGAACAUUAACUCAAUACUAAGAUAUUUUUUGAGACCGUGAUAACUCUAUAAAAAACAAAUCGAAACCAAUUAUGAAAUUGAAUUCCCAAUUAAUUCAAUAUCUAUAGAUGAUAUCAAAAAAAAAUUAAUCUUUCCAAACCCGCGAACAAUAUCAACCAACCAAACAUGUGAACAGAUUUAUGAACUUUAAAAGAAAAAGUGGACGAUGGACGACGUGGUUUUGUCCCACAGGUUGAAAAAAGGCUUGUGAUGAAAUCGUUUCAGCCUAGCUUAAGUUUAAUUUCCCAUUCAUCUGCUUGUCGUGCAUCUUUUAUUCCCCGAGCUACACUCAACAGAACACUCAUUACCCAAAAAAAUAAACAUACCCCUCCCCUGUCCCUUUCACUCGAAGGGUUAGUUCGAGUUUCUUCACAGAUUGUUGAAAAUAUGGAGGAUAAUUGUUUUGUGACGACUGAUUGCGUCAUCGUUAAAAUAGGUAGAUUUAAAAUGUGUUAAUGAUUUUUUUAAAGUAUUUUUUAUUUAAAAAUAUAUUAAAAUUAUAUAUUUUUUUAAAAUUUAUUUUUAAUAUCAACAUAUUAAAACCCUUUAAAAACAUAAAAUUAAUUUAAUUUAAAAUAAAAAUAAUUAAUUUUUUAAAAAAGCACGGCAACCUGCAAUAGUUAACACUCCUAUAAUCUCGUGGACAUGUUGAGUGCUUUUUUUUUGGGCUAUUAACUCGGUCGAGUUUGAACCGGAUCGGAUAACCUGAAUUAUUAAAAUCCUAUCAUAUAUAGUUAAAUGAGUUUUAUCGGUCAAAAUCUUGGUUAAUUCAACUAGUAACCUGAACCGAUUUUGAAUUUUGAAUUUCCUACAUUAAUCUAUCCGGUUGGCAAAGUUUUAUAACUAUGUAAAAAAAAUUAAAAAAAAAAUGCAGUACGAGCACACCACUCGUAUAUAAAAGACACCGAAGGUUUGAACUUUGAUCACUGAAUUGAGGUGUUGCCAAUUGAACUUCAUUGGUACUUGUAGAAUAUGGCAGAUGAGAAGAAACAAAACCUGGAAAACAAACCUGCGUUGUCUCCACCUCUACCCGAGAGGAAGAAAAACACCUUACCAAACUUCCUUUUAUCUGUUCAGCUCAAAUAUGUGAAACUUGGUUACCACUACUUGGUUUCCAAUGCCAUGUACCUCAUGCUCAUGCCAGCAC